CGUAGGUGGCAAGCGUUGUCCGGAAUUAUUGGGCGUAAAGCGCGCGCAGGCGGUCUUUUAAGUCUGAUGUGAAAGCCCCCGGCUCAACCGGGGAGGGUCAUUGGAAACUGGAGGACUUGAGUGCAGAAGAGAAGAGCGGAAUUCCACGUGUAGCGGUGAAAUGCGUAGAGAUGUGGAGGAACACCAGUGGCGAAGGCGGCUCUUUGGUCUGUAACUGACGCUGAGGCGCGAAAGCGUGGGGAGCAAACAGGAUUAGAUACCCUGGUAGUCCACGCCGUAAACGAUGAGUGCUAAGUGUUAGAGGGUUUCCGCCCUUUAGUGCCGCAGCUAACGCAUUAAGCACUCCGCCUGGGGAGUACGGCCGCAAGGCUG
rnacentral:rRNA from 1 species